GACAGACGCGGCCUGGCCUCCAAGUCACCAGCGCGGAGCCCUGGCCGUCGCCUGACUCUGCUUCCUGCGCUGCUGGGCUCCAAGGCGGGAGACCCAAGUGCGGCAGAGUGGCCUGGAGGAGGUUUUGGGGUGACCUCUGCUGUCUGGACUGUUCCGUGUCACCGCUGGUGGGGGCUGGCCUUGAAUUCACUGUGUAGCCCAGACUGGCUUCAAACUUCCAAUUCUUCCACCUCAACUGCCCAAGUAGUGGAAUUACAGAACACAGAAUUAUAUAUGAAUGUAGAGUGGACCCUCAAGUAACAACCAGCCUGACGUACAUAUUGACCUACAACCAACCUGAGUUACAACCAGCCCUUGGGAACUGAUUGAGUUUGUAAAUCGGGAUAAGGUCGUCGCUUCCUGCAGAAGGCGCCAGCACCUGGCUUGCCUUGGCUCUGGCCUGACUCAGUUAGCAGGGCUGGUUCCGGGCACUCUGCCUGCUUCCUCCCGGAAGGAAUGAGCCUCCAGUCUGUGGGACAUACUGGAGACAGCCAGCAGCGACAGGGCCACAGUGGCUGACAUGAAAGUAGGAUGCCUGGGGCGAUUUCAGAGUCCUUUGAUACCAAAGGCCAAACUCAUGAAUCUAUUGCCGUAGGUUACAGCUGCUGUGAGUACAGGAAGUAGCUUCCCAGAGACCCCUGGGAAAAGGUUAUUUUUUUUCUCUGGGGUUCCACAAAGUGGACGAGUCCAGUGCCUGUCCUCAGGGGUGCAUGGAGGAGUUUUUGGGAGCUCCGGGGCAGUAAAGACUUCAGGGCCUGGCAGUCAGUGGUUAAUCAAGGUGACCCUAAGGACUGAAAAUCGGUCCCCUACCCUUUCGAAGUCAAGGGCCUCCAUUAGGGCUGAGGCCCAAGAGCUCCUGAGGCAGGAGGAGGGAACCAGUCCCCAGCUGACUUGAGACCUGCCUGGACCAGAGCCAAAUUUGACUUGCUUUAGAGAAACAAAGAAACAUCAUUUCUUAACCCACAAAGGGCAGAUUGUAAUAUAUACC
rnacentral:lncRNA from 1 species